CUCUGUGACUCCUACGGGAGGCAGCAGUGGGGAAUAUUGCACAAUGGGCGCAAGCCUGAUGCAGCCAUGCCGCGUGUAUGAAGAAGGCCUUCGGGUUGUAAAGUACUUUCAGCAGUGAGGAAGGUUCAUACGUUAAUAGCGUAUGGAUUUGACGUUAGCUGCAGAAGAAGCACCGGCUAACUCCGUGCCAGCAGCCGCGGUAAUACGGAGGGUGCGAGCGUUAAUCGGAAUUACUGGGCGUAAAGCGCAUGCAGGUGGUUUGUUAAGUCAGAUGUGAAAGCCCGGGGCUCAACCUCGGAAUUGCAUUUGAAACUGGCAGACUAGAGUACUGUAGAGGGGGUAGAAUUUCAGGUGUAGCGGUGAAAUGCGUAGAGAUCUGAAGGAAUACCGGUGGCGAAGGCGGCCCCCUGGACAGAUACUGACACUCAGAUGCGAAAGCGUGGGGAGCAAACAGGAUUAGAUACCCUGGUAG
rnacentral:rRNA from 1 species